GGGAAGAUCACCUAUUUCUUGGGAUAAACCCAUCUGGCUUCUGCUCUGUGGGAAGACACCAGGCCAUCUGUGUGUGAAGCAUGAAGAUUAUGGACAAAAGGCCAUUAAGAGUGGGUGCUGGCCCAAGUUAUGUCUACAGAAAUGGUGCAGAUACCUGAACAAUUGCUAUUCCCUUAACCCAGAGUGGAAGGAUGAAUGCUCCUCAUGAUUUUACCAUCACAUUAAUGUGUAUGUAUGCAUCCACCACCCUGGAGUAGACUUGUACUGGUGAGACUGGGCAGAAUGAGCAAGUCACCAUCUUCACUUGCCCAUGCAGACAAGUCCUCCUCCAGCAUCCUUUCAUUUUCACAAGUGCCAAAUUUUCUGCAAGCCCUGCAAACCAAGCCACACUCGUGAAAAGUGGGCUGAAUGCACCCUAACCACAAGCAUCACCCUGUAACCGAAGCAGGAGGAUGAGCAAAACAUCUCAGCCCCUCCACACGGGACGGAUAGCUGUCAGCAUACACUACGAAUGCAGUUCCACACCUGAUGUAAAACUGAGGGAGACUGUGCAAAACAUUUGUCCAAAG
ensembl:lncRNA